AUGAACGUCGUGGCAGAACCUUCGAAGAUCUACCUGUUAGACCUCGUGAGUUUUGGACAUGAAAGCGACGGGGCUGGCAGCCGCGGCCUGGUAGUACCGGACACCUGGGUGCACAACGACUCGCUCCCUGUCGGGACCGUCGCGAUUCUCUGCGUCGACGGCUCUGUGGUGACCAGGAAAGCCUGCGACGUCAACGUCGUCGACAGAAGCUACUUCUACCCCGGCGAGGUCGUCGGAUCCGCGUCGGACCUCGGCGGUCAAAUCGGCGUCGUCACCAACGUCACCGUAGCGGUCGACCUGAUCGAGCGCACCGUCCGCGGCGGCGAGCCGGCGAAGAUCGUCAAGGGUGUGCCACCAUCUCGUCUGCGGCGCGUUAAAGGGCUCAGCCUGGGCGACUAUGUCGUGUCCGGGCCGUGGCUUGGCCGGGUCGUCGAGGUGUCCACUGAUGUCUACGUGUUAUUCGACGAUGGCGCCAUGUGCAAGGUCCCCGACGCAGAGUCCAAGAUGCUACGAUCAGUGGCCAAGGCCGACGCCCUUUACCGCCCUGAGAUGAAUAGCCCUUUUUACCCGGGGCACCGGGUGACCGGCGACCCAUGUGCCGUCUUCAAGCCCUCCCGGUGGCUCAACGGCCAUUGGAGGCCAGAGCGUAGAGCAGGCACCGUCACCAAGCUCGAGAUGUCCGGCGUCCUCGUCCACUGGAUCGCGUCGGCGCACGGCGGCACCGAUCAACAGCUCGUUCAAGAGUUUGCUCCCCCGGCCUAUCAGAACCCUGGCAAUCUGACCUUCUUUUGCUCCGCGUCUGACUGCACCUGGGGCGUAGCCGACACGUGCUUCCUUCGAAAAACCAGUGACGACUCACUUCCCGCCGCCGCCGAAACCAACAAGGGUGCUGGCGAUGUGGCCUGUGCUCAUGAUGGCAAUCACCAGGAGGAUCGACCCGUCGCAUGUUCAGACGACGAAUAUGAGUAUGACAGUGACACGACAGAAGAAGAUGAGCGCGAAUCACCAAGUACAACUACGGUCCCCACAAAGCAGCAGCAGGAGAUGAGGUUUUACCGGAAGCAGCUAAGGAAGGAUUACUUCGAUGGUCACAGGAGGGCGCGAUGCCGGGACGUCGGGAGGUACGUGGAGUUGGACCAACUGCCCAUGAGCGUCGCUAGCACCCACACCACCGUCGACGUGUUGUGGCAGGACGGCACACGGCAGCUCGGUGCACCAUCGACAUCCCUCGUCUCCUUCAACAUCUUGAACGAGCAAGAGUUCCUCCCAGGGCAGUUUGUUUUCGACAACGCCUUUCCCGCGGCAACUGCCCCCGUUGAUGCUGCCGUCGGUGUUACCGGCGACGAUGACGGUUCAGCUGCGACGAGGCGUGUGGGCUUCGUCAGAAGCCUGGAUUGCAAGGACCAGAUGGUGCACGUCUCGUGGUUCAAAGCGGCGUCACGCCCCGGCCAAGCAAGAGAGAUCGAUUGCAGUGAUACCGUCAGCGCGUACAGCCUAGAAAGGGAGCCUGAACGCUAUGCUUACUAUGGAGAUGUCGUUGUUCGCCUGCUACCAUCAGGAUCAACUGACGGCCCAAGUGCACCGCCGUCACAGGGCAACCAUAAGAACAAAGCCGAUCUUUCAUGGGUCGGGCGUGUGGUAGACCUGCCUGAUGGCUUUGUCCAAGUCAAGUGGGGUGAUGGUAGCACGUCAACGAUAAUGCCAUCUUCUGUGCUGCCCAGCGAGAUAUGUGUCAUCAACGAACAGAACUACGACGAACUAGAGGCUGAAAUGGGCGAUUGGGUGGAGGACGACGGCAUUGAUCCACCCCAAGAACCGGCAACCGACUACACGGAAAAUGUUCCACAAAACCCAACCGGCGUCGACGGCGACGAGGAUCCUGCGGGCAGAGAUGGCCCUGCCGCGAUAGCAACAGCCCGCCUGGGUUCCGCCGUCUCGUUUGUGAUCGGAUGGGCAAGCAAUGUGUUAGCUCGAGGUAAAAGGUGUCUAUCAGAUUGGUCUUCGCCGUCAUCAUCAGGCUCCGAGUUAUCUGCAGCUGCAGAGAAUGAGGGAGCACCCGAGACAGUACCUGGUGGUGGUGACCAUCCUAGGGAUGACGCUGCAAGGGAGGUCAUCGAUGCGGACGAUCCUGCCAGUGAGGGGAAGGAGGCUGCAGAUGCUAACGGCAAUGAGGAGCCAUUCCGUUUUCUGCAUUUUGACGUACGAGAUAGCCCUCCGGAUCACCAUUACCUUGACACCGCGGACCAGGGCGGCUGCGGUGGAAAGAGGUGGGUCAAGAUAGUGCAGAGAGAGUGGAAAAUACUAGAGAACAACUUACCAGAUACCAUCUACGUGCGGGCAUUCGAGAACCGCAUAGAUCUGCUCCGGGCUGUCAUGGUGGGCGCUAGCGGAACACCGUAUCACGACGGGCUCUUCUUCUUCGACUUGUUGCUGCCGCCGUCCUACCCAGACGCACCGCCGCAGGUGUACUAUCACUCGUUCGGACUCCGUCUCAAUCCUAAUCUAUAUGCCUCUGGAACAGUGUGCCUCAGCCUUCUCAACACCUUCGGCGGAGAGGGCACGGAGAUCUGGUCACCAGCGACGUCGAGCCUGCUCCAGGUUCUAGUCUCCAUCCAGGGCCUCGUUCUCAACAACCAGCCCUACUACAAUGAGGCUGAAUACGAAGCUCUGGUCGGCACACCAGAGGGUUGCCGCAAUGCUUUGCCGUACAACGAGAAUGCCUACCUACUCACCCUGCGAACUAUGCUUCAUCUACUGCGCCGACCACCUUUGGGGUUCGAGGAGUUUGUCAGGGACCACUUCCGCCGCCGGGCGAGGUUCAUACUCAGGGCAUGCGAGGCAUAUCUUCAAGGAUGCGACGUUGGAACGCUUUGUAGUGAGGCAUGUGCCACCAAGAGGAGUAGCGAGCGGCAGUGCUCACCUGGGUUAAGGUUCACGCUCGCCAAUCUGGUGCCAAGGCUCGUUGCGGCAUUCGCGGAGAUCGGUGCCGAGGGAUGUGUGUAA
rnacentral:rRNA from 1 species